AUUGAACGCUGGCGGCAGGCCUAACACAUGCAAGUCGAACGAGGGGCGGACGGGUGAGCUAUGUGGGGGCAUGUAGGUUAUGGAGGGGGAUAACUACGGGAAACUGUAGCUAAUAACGCGUACCAUAGUAAGAGCACAAGUGGGAUUAGGUAGGUGGUGAGGUAAAGGCUCACCAAGGCGACGCUCUCUAGCUGGUCUGAGAGGAGGACCAGCCACACUGGGACUGAGAGACGGCCCAGACUCCUACGGGAGGCAGCAGUGGGGAAUAUUGCGCAAUGGGGGCAACCUGACGCAGCCAUGCCGCGUGAAUGAAGAAGGCCUUCGGGUUGUAAAGUUCUUUCGGUAGGGAGGCGUUAACUACAGAAGAAGCACCGGCUAACUCCGUGCCAGCCGCCGCGGUAAUAC
rnacentral:rRNA from 1 species